rnacentral:rRNA from 1 species
UACAGAGGGUGCGAGCGUUAAUCGGAAUUACUGGGCGUAAAGCGCGCGUAGGCGGCUUUGCAAGUCGGGUGUGAAAACUCGGGGCUUAACCCCGAGCCUGCAGUGGAUACGGGCAGACUAGAGGUAGGUAGGGGAGAAUGGAAUUCCCGGUGUAGCGGUGAAAUGCGCAGAUAUCGGGAGGAACACCGGUGGCGAAGGCGGUUCUCUGGGCCUUACCUGACGCUGAGGAGCGAAGCGGUGGGGAGCGAACAGGAUUAGACUACCGUA